GAUGAACGCUGGCGGCGUGCCUAAUACAUGCAAGUCGAGCGAACAGAUGAGGAGUUUGCUCCUCUGACGUUAUCGCCGGACGGGUGAGUAACACGUGGUUAACCUAACUCUAAGACAGGGAUAACUUCGGGAAACCGGAGCUAAUGCCGGAUAAUAUAUUGACUCGCAUGGGUCCAUAGUGAAAGACGGUUUUUCUGUCACUUAUAGAUGGCUCCGCCCCGAAUUAGCUAGUUGGUAAGGUAACGGCUUACCAAGGUUACGAUGCGUAGGCGACCUGAGAGGGACAUUCACCACACUGUAUGUGAGACUGGGUCCAGACACCGACGGGAGGAAACGGUAGAAAAUCCUCCGCGAUGCACCAGAGCGUAACGGUGCGCAACCGGCUAAAGGAUGAAGGACUUCUGCCGGUUAAACUCUGAUAGUAGGAAGAUUCAAAUAUGCAUGUAACUAUGAACGUCUUGACGGUACCUGAUCAGAAAGCCACGGCUAACUACGUG
rnacentral:rRNA from 1 species